rnacentral:rRNA from 1 species
UUUAUGGAGAGUUUGAUCCUGGCUCAGGAUGAACGCUGGCGGCGUGCCUAAUACAUGCAAGUCGAGCGAACAGAUAAGGAGCUUGCUCCUUUGACGUUAGCGGCGGACGGGUGAGUAACACGUGGGUAACCUACCUAUAAGACUGGAAUAACUCCGGGAAACCGGGGCUAAUGCCGGAUAACAUGUUGAACCGCAUGGUUCUACAGUGAAAGACGGUCUUGCUGUCACUUAUAGAUGGACCCGCGCCGUAUUAGCUAGUUGGUGGGGUAACGGCCUACCAAGGCGACGAUACGUAGCCGACCUGAGAGGGUGAUCGGCCACACUGGAACUGAGACACGGUCCAGACUCCUACGGGAGGCAGCAGUAGGGAAUCUUCCGCAAUGGGCGAAAGCCUGACGGAGCAACGCCGCGUGAGUGAUGAAGGUCUUCGGAUCGUAAAGCUCUGUUGUUAGGGAAGAACAAAUGUGUAAGUAACUGUGCACAUCUUGACGGUACCUAACCAGAAAGCCACGGCUAACUACGUGCCAGCAGCCGCGGUAAUACGUAGGUGGCAAGCGUUAUCCGGAAUUAUUGGGCGUAAAGCGCGCGUAGGCGGUUUUUUAAGUCUGAUGUGAAAGCCCACGGCUCAACCGUGGAGGGUCAUUGGAAACUGGAAAACUUGAGUGCAGAAGAGGAAAGUGGAAUUCCAUGUGUAGCGGUGAAAUGCGCAGAGAUAUGGAGGAACACCAGUGGCGAAGGCGGCUUUCUGGUCUGCAACUGACGCUGAUGUGCGAAAGCGUGGGGAUCAAACAGGAUUAGAUACCCUGGUAGUCCACGCCGUAAACGAUGAGUGCUAAGUGUUAGGGGGUUUCCGCCCCUUAGUGCUGCAGCUAACGCAUUAAGCACUCCGCCUGGGGAGUACGGUCGCAAGACUGAAACUCAAAGGAAUUGACGGGGACCCGCACAAGCGGUGGAGCAUGUGGUUUAAUUCGAAGCAACGCGAAGAACCUUACCAAAUCUUGACAUCCUUUGACCGCUCUAGAGAUAGAGUUUUCCUCUUCGGAGGACAAAGUGACAGGUGGUGCAUGGUUGUCGUCAGCUCGUGUCGUGAGAUGUUGGGUUAAGUCCCGCAACGAGCGCAACCC